GCGGCCCGACUAUAUGUUAAAAUUUAAUAUAUUUCUAGACCAUAGCCGCGCUGCGAUACAAGGGUUGUUUUAACUUUUUUUUUUAAAUAAAUAAUAUAACUGAGCAGCUAUACAUUUAAAUAUAAUAUAUUUCUAGAAUAUAGUCACGUGGCUAUAUUGGGUUUUUUUAAAUAUAAUUUUUUAAAUAAAUAGUAUAGCCUCGCCGCAUGGCUUGUUUAAAUACUUAUAUAAAAUAAGUAUAUUUGCGUGG
rnacentral:lncRNA from 1 species